rnacentral:rRNA from 1 species
GUGUCAGCCGCCGCGGUAAUACGGAGGGUGCGAGCGUUAAUCGGAAUUACUGGGCGUAAAGCGCGCGUAGGCGGUUUGUUAAGUCGGAUGUGAAAUCCCCGGGCUCAACCUGGGAAUGGCAUUCGAUACUGGCCGACUAGAGUACGAGAGAGGGAGGUAGAAUUCCACGUGUAGCGGUGAAAUGCGUAGAUAUGUGGAGGAAUACCGGUGGCGAAGGCGGCCUCCUGGCUCGAUACUGACGCUGAGGUGCGAAAGCGUGGGUAGCAAACAGGAUUAGAUACCCUCGUAGUCC